ACAGAAGAAGAGAUAUAUGUUUGUUUACAGACAAGCCAAUCCGAAGGUCUUCCAAUGGCAGCGGUUUCAUCUGCGCUGGCUACAGCUGCGUCGCCCCGUCCAAAUAUACCAACUAGACUCGCUCCUCUUUCUUCCUCGAAUUCAAUUUUCUUCAGUUACAAUGUCUGUUCCCGGGCUCGGCUCGGGAUUUCGGUGUCUCGGCAUCGAGCAGCGAAGAAAAGGGGGAUGUCCUGCAACUGUUUGUUUGGUCUUGGAGUCCCGGAGCUCGCGGUUAUUGCGGGCGUAGCGGUGCUCCUAUUCGGUCCGAAGAAAUUGCCUGAAGUUGGCCGCAGCAUUGGCAAGACUGUCAAGGGCUUUCAGCAGGCAGCGAAAGAAUUCGAGUCAGAGCUGAAGAAGGAGGAUGAAACUUCUGCGGAGCAAUCUAGUGAGAAAGUUACAACAGUGAGUGAAGAGGAGCGAGAUGAUAAAGUUGGAAGCACAAAAGAGACUUCUUAGAAUGAUGACACUUUUGCUUUUGAACUUUAUUGAUUCUGAAGUGAACAAGAUGCUUGCAGGCAGGCGCCUUCAUGUGUAAGACAACUACUUAUUGAGAUACGAUCGACUGUAUUAUCUGUGUGUCAUCAAUGGAUAAUAUCUUUGUCAAAGAGCAGAUGAUGAGAAAGAUGCUUAGUUAAAUUUAAUUUUGGAGUGGUACGACAGGAGAUGGGAAGGAUACAGAUAUCGAAAAUAUCUUGAUGACAUUCUUGUGUGAAGUUGAAGCGAACGCCAAUGCUGAUAUCCAUCCAUCCAUCCAUCCAAGUGGUGAAGCGAAUCUCCAUUGUUAUUUGUGGAGAUUAUUAUUGUUAUUAUCAGGCAUUCAUUCAUUCAUUCCUAUAAGAGAAGAAAGUGGGGGAGAUGGAGAUCAGAUGUUAAUGGAGAAACAAGUAUGUAUCUAUAAAUGGAGCUUGACUUUCGGAUUCCAAACCUUCUCUCCUUUUGCGGACUAAAUAAGGCUGAUCUUUUAUCAUUUCAUGGAGCAGUACGACAAGUUUCGCUUGGGCCGCACAAAAUAUAUGGACUGACGGUUAUGAAAAUAAUAUUUUAUUAAUUGAGCAAUUAAAGUUGGACA